rnacentral:rRNA from 1 species
GGACCCGCACAAGCGGUGGAGCAUGUGGUUUAAUUCGAUGAUACGCGAGGAACCUUACCAGGGCUUAAAUGUAAGUUGCAUAAAUCUAGAGAUAGUUUUUUCUUCGGACUACUUACAAGGUGCUGCAUGGUUGUCGUCAGCUCGUGCCGUGAGGUGUCAGGUUAAGUCCUAUAACGAGCGCAACCCCUGUCGUUAGUUACCAGCAAGUAAUGUUGGGUACUCUAGCGAGACUGCCGGUGCAAACCGCGAGGAAGGUGGGGAUGACGUCAAAUCAUCACGGCCCUUACGUCCUGGCCACACACGUGCUACAAUGGCCGGUACAGAGAGCAGCCACUACGCGAGUAGGAG